AGCUUUGCACAGUGGCAGUAUCGUAGCCAAUGAGGUUUAUCUGAGGUGCAAUUAUUGCUAAUUGAAAAUUUUUUUUUAAUUUUAUUUUUUAUUUUAGUCAUCAUACAUUACAUCAUUAGUUUUUGAUGUAGUGUUCCAUGAUUCAUU